GAUGAACGCUGGCGGCGUGCCUAAUACAUGCAAGUCGAGCGAACAGACGAGGAGCUUGCUCCUCUGACGUUAGCGGCGGACGGGUGAGUAACACGUGGAUAACCUACCUAUAAGACUGGGAUAACAUCGGGAAACCGGAGCUAAUACCGGAUAAUAUAUUGAACCGCAUGGUUCAAUAGUUAAAGACGGUUUUGCUGUCACUUAUAGAUGGAUCCGCGCCGCAUUAGCUAGUUGGUAAGGUAACGGCUUACCAAGGCAACGAUGCGUAGCCGACCUGAGAGGGUGAUCGGCCACACUGGAACUGAGACACGGUCCAGACUCCUACGGGAGGCAGCAGUAGGGAAUCUUCCGCAAUGGGCGAAAGCCUGACGGAGCAACGCCGCGUGAGUGAUGAAGGUCUUCGGAUCGUAAAACUCUGUUAUUAGGGAAGAACAAAUGUGUAAGUAACUAUGCACGUCUUGACGGUACCUAAUCAGAAAGCCACGGCUAACUACGUG
rnacentral:rRNA from 1 species